rnacentral:rRNA from 1 species
UUCUGGUUGAUCCCGCCGGAGGUUACUGCUAUCGAGGUUCGACUAAGCCAUGCGAGUCGAAUGUAGCAAUACAUGGCGUACUGCUCAGUAACACGUGGAUAACCUACCCUUGAGACGGGGAUAAACCCGGGAAACUGGGUAUAAUACCCGAUAGAUCUCGACUGCUGGAAUGCAUCGAGCUCUAAAGCUCCGGCGCUCAAGGAUGGGUCUGCGGCCUAUCAGGUAGUAGUGGGUGUAGCGUACCUACUAGCCCACGACGGGUACGGGUUGUGAGAGCAAGAGCCCGGAGAUGGAUUCUGAGACACGAAUCCAGGCCUUACGGGGUGCAGCAGGCGCGAAAACUUUACAAUGCUGGAAACAGCGAUAAGGGGACCUCGAGUGCCAGGUUACAAAUCUGGCUGUCGUGAUGCCUAAAAAGCAUUGCAUUGCAAGGGCCGGGCAAGACCGGUGCCAGCCGCCGCGGUAACACCGGCGGCUCGAGUGGUAACCGUUAUUAUUGGGUCUAAAGGGUCUGUAGCCGGCCGGAUAAGUCUCUUGGGAAAUCUGGCAGCUUAACUGUCGGGCUUUCAGGAGAUACUGUCUGGCUCGAGGCCGGGAGAGGUGAGAGGUACUUCAGGGGUAGGGGUGAAAUCUUGUAAUCCUUGAAGGACCACCAGUGGCGAAGGCGUCUCACCAGAACGGACCUGACGGCAAGGGACGAAAGCUAGGGGCACGAACCGGAUUAGAUACCCGGGUAGUCCUAGCCGUAAACGAUACUCGCUAGGUGUCGGCCACGGUGCGACCGUUGUCGGUGCCGUAGGGAAGCCGUGAAGCGAGCCACCUGGGAAGUACGGCCGCAAGGCUGAAACUUAAAGGAAUUGGCGGGA